UCCCUGGCAGUCCAGUGUGGUUAGGAUUCUGCACUUUCACUGCUGAGGGCCUGGGUUCAAUCCCUGGUCAGGGAG
rnacentral:tRNA from 1 species